rnacentral:lncRNA from 12 species
AUCAUAGGUUAUUUCACAGCUGUCAUGGUUUUGGAGCCAUCUUCCCUGUCACCAGUUACUGCAGCUCGCCCUUGCUGGUGGAUAUCUUUAUGCCAGACCCUCAUAACAUUUAAUCACCACAAGGUCGAGGUCACAUGAUGAGAGUUUCACACUGAAGAUUACAGCCAUGGCUUUCACCAAGCUGAAAAACAAGCUUUAACGUGAUGAUCCACACAAGACCAAACCUGAUGAGAAAUGUAGGGUGUUGCUAUGGCAAUUCCAUUCGUUGGAACUUUUCUCUGUUGGCUUCACUCUGACAUUACAUUCUAAAAAGAAUCGUAUGAAAAGGUGUGGUGGCUGUGAAGACAAACGCAAAGCCAAGAAGAUGGAACUUUCUUAUCUGUCUCCAAAGAGAGAAUGUCGUCAUAUCGUAAUGCCACCCUAAUGUAGUCGGAGGGCUGGCUUAGGAGGUGUCAUUCUGAGAUUUCAUUGAAACCCUGGGGUGUAUUUCUUUUUCACUUAAGUGGAAAAUUGGCGAUGCCAGAGUUAUUAGCAAAAUGACAAGGUGAAAGAAGGAUGCUUGGAUGAAACUGAAAGAUGACAAGGCCUUGGCUCCUAAAAGAAUGAAGACCUGUUUUGUUGUUGGAGGUAGACCUUCCUUUUCAAGGGUUAUAAUAAAUGCAGCUGUUUAUAACAACAACCUCAGAAUAUCAUUUCAGGCAUUGUGUCAAAGCACUUUUUUUCUUCAAAACAACCCUCAGAGGUAGAUAUUAUUAGAAACUCCAUUUUGCAUAUGAAGAAAGGGAGAUUCAGAGAGAAAAUAUGACUGGGCUUAUGUCAAUCACUUAUAAAAAAGGAAAUAAAAAAUUUGAAUACAGAACCA